CGCAGGUCCUGGUUGCACAUAGCACAGUAAGGUCACAUACAUAGUGGGUGAAGUGUUCAUCAUGUAAGGCUAUACCAGGCCCAUACAGGCCGGGUACUUUAAGCAUCGCACAACAACAAUCAGCACAUGGUAUGGUACAAAUGUGUGUAGCUGUAGGCCAUCCCUUAGAGCGUCAUGCCUUUUGUGUGCACCCUGCAACCCAGG